UACGAAGGGGGCUAGCGUUGUUCGGAUUACUGGGCGUAAAGCGCACGUAGGCGGAUCGUUAAGUCAGGGGUGAAAUCCUGGAGCUCAACUCCAGAACUGCCUUUGAUACUGGCGAUCUCGAGUCCGGAAGAGGAGAAUGGAAUUCCCGGUGUAGCGGUGAAAUGCGCAGAUAUCGGGAAGAACACCCGUGGCGAAGGCGGUUCUCUGGGACGGUACUGACGCUGAGACGCGAAAGCGUGGGGAGCGAACAGG
rnacentral:rRNA from 1 species